rnacentral:rRNA from 1 species
GAUGAACGCUAGCGGGAGGCUUAACACAUGCAAGUCGAGGGGCAGCACGGCGUAGCAAUAUGCUGGUGGCGACCGGCGCACGGGUGAGUAACGCGUAUGCAACCUACCCUGUACAGGGGGAUAACCCGGAGAAAUCCGGACUAAUACCCCAUAAUUACCUAUAUGGGCAUCCAUAAAGGUUUAAAGCGGCGACGCGGUACGGGACGGGCAUGCGUAACAUUAGCUAGUUGGCGGGGCAACGGCCCACCAAGGCGACGAUGUUUAGGGGACCUGAGAGGGUGAUCCCCCACACUGGUACUGAGACACGGACCAGACUCCUACGGGAGGCAGCAGUGAGGAAUAUUGGUCAAUGGGCGCAAGCCUGAACCAGCCAUCCCGCGUGGAGGAAGACGGCGCUAUGCGUUGUAAACUUCUUUUCAAGGGGAAGAAUUGUCCCGACGUGUCGGGGCUUGCCGGUACCUUUGGAAUAAGCAUCGGCUAACUCCGUGCCAGCAGCCGCGAUAAUACGUAGCGUG